rnacentral:rRNA from 1 species
UGGGGAAUUUUGGACAAUGGGCGCAAGCCUGAUCCAGCCAUGCCGCGUGCGGGAAGAAGGCCUUCGGGUUGUAAAAUCCUUUCGUGGGGGACGAUAAUGACGGUACCCCAAGAAGAAGCUCCGGCUAACUUCGUGCCAGCAGCCGCGGUAAUACGAAGGGGGCUAGCGUUGUUCGGAUUUACUGGGCGUAAAGCGCGUGUAGGCGGGUCGUUAAGUUGGGGGUGAAAUCCCGAGGCUCAACCUCGGAACUGCCUCUGAUACUGCACGUCUUGAGUUCGAGAGAGGUGGGUGGAAUUCCUAGUGUAGAGGUGAAAUUCGUAGAUAUUAGGAAGAACACCGGUGGCGAAGGCGGCCCACUGGCUCGAUACUGACGCUGAGGUGCGAAAGCGUGGGGAGCAAACAGGAUUAGAUACCCUCGUAGUCCCUGAGCGGGCUGGCAAGGCGCAU